rnacentral:rRNA from 1 species
AACGAACGCUGGCGGCAUGCCUAACACAUGCAAGUCGAACGAGACCUUCGGGUCUAGUGGCGCACGGGUGCGUAACGCGUGGGAACCUGCCCUUAGGUUCGGAAUAACUCCCCGAAAGGGGUGCUAAUACCGGAUAAUGUCUUCGGACCAAAGAUUUAUCGCCUUUGGAUGGGCCCGCGUUGGAUUAGCUAGUUGGUAGGGUAAAAGCCUACCAAGGCGACGAUCCAUAGCUGGUCUGAGAGGAUGAUCAGCCACACUGGGACUGAGACACGGCCCAGACUCCUACGGGAGGCAGCAGUGGGGAAUAUUGGACAAUGGGCGAAAGCCUGAUCCAGCAAUGCCGCGUGAGUGAUGAAGGCCUUAGGGUUGUAAAGCUCUUUUACCCGAGAUGAUAAUGACAGUACCGGGAGAAUAAGCACCGGCUAACUCCGUG